CUCAAGCUUACUGGCAACCUCCUUGAGGCGAGACACUUCAGCAUGUAUAAAAUCAAGCUCCUCAUUCUUGGCAAAACAAGCAGAUCAUAGCUCCGAAUUGACACGCUCAAAGUCCUCAACCACCGGAGAAACACAACUUACUUUCUUCUCUGCAGCUUCCAACAUCGCUUGAGUCGCAUUAAGCUUAGCAUUCAGAUGGGCAACCUUCUCACGAGCGAUCUCCAGCUGCAAAGAAUUGGGAGCAGAGACAUUAGACCCUUUCAAAACGGCGAGUUCAGAUUCGAGCUUCUCGAUCUUUUCAGAAGCCGAGUGAAGUUGAACCACCAAUGCCAUUUCAGCCUCCUUGGCACACUUGACAGCAUCAUGAUCAACGCACAUAGAUUCAGCUACCAAGAUUAAAGUCUUAUGCAUUGUAGCAAUCAGGAAUGACCUUCUCGAGUAGUCAGGACGCUUCAUAAAAGAAUCUGAGUGGAUGAUAACUUUCCCAACACUGUUAACAAAUUUGGUGCAUGCGUCAACAUCCUCAAGUAGGUCAGCCUACGUAAAAACCUCAUGAAACUCUCCAACCUCAAAUUCGGUGGAUCUCUCACACUGCCCGUGCGAGCAAAUUUCCCUUUCUCAACAGAUGAGCUAGUCACCGCAGAAGGAUGAUCAGGCCCAGGCACCACCUUAGCAACAGAAUCCACCUUCCUGCUCUUCAUAGCGGCGAGCCUCUCAGAAGCCGAUCCAAACUUAGCUCCCGACAGACGCUUUGAUACAAAGCCGAACACCGAAGGCCCCACCGAACCCUUCCGCUAGGCAAGUCUCUCAACGAUGGAUACAGUCACCUUUGAAGCAGCAGGUUUCAUAAGCUCAAUUUCAACGAUCUUCUUCACCCCCUUAGGGUGGUUAGAUCAAUAACAAGCUUCUCGGUAGCAGACAAGCUCCCAAGAGAAGCGAAAGAAAUUAUUGGCUUCUUCUCAGCUGAAGGCUCAUAAGUAGGUGAACAAGAGCUCUUCUUUCCACCCUUAUUGGCAGCGGGCUUUACAACAGCGAUCGGGUGAGCCAGCCCCUCGUCCUUUAUCCACUUUAUCUCUUACUUCGAAGGCAAACCACCUUUCUCCCAACGAAAAGGGUUGAGCAGCCAGUACCACUCACGGUACUCAAUAAGAAUGCCCAAGGCAACAUGCACUUUCUUCAUAUUUGUCGAGGUCCUUGGAAUGGAGCCAAACUCCGAAUCUACACAACACAAGAAAAACAAUCAAGAAAUUAAAUACAUGAAGCAGCUCUAAAAAAAAUUCAAGCAGGGUAAGAAUGAAGCAGUUCACUUACCACUGAUAAAGGUAGUCGGGACAUGCAGCUCAGGAGAAGAGUCAGACUCCCACUCCCCACUCACCUCCAAGGUGUCUCUAGCCCACUCAUGAUUGCCCUUGCUAGAAGCAUCGAGCAGCCUAUGGCGAGACCUCAGCUGCCCACACCUUCCUUAUGGCCGAUCUCAAAGAAGUAUCAUAACUCAUUUAUGGUUAAGCCAAGAUUAAAGAACCUGCUCAAGUUCAAGAAUCCCAUCAUUGCACAAACUGCAUUUGGGGAGCACUGAGCAGGUGCGCAUUUCAUGGGGCAGAUCACCUCCUGGAAAAGACGUGCAUGGGAAAAACAAAUCCCAACAUGAAGUGAUACGAAUGGAAUUUGAUAGCUUUCUUCCUAGCAGAGGCACCCUUACCACACGGCCUAGGCCACCAAAGACCAAGAGCUGGCCCAAGCCGGACUCUCCAUCUCUCUCACAUCUCCACUUGCAUGGGCCCCUACCCAACAGCUCACAAGGUUCGGCCCAAGCUAACCUUUCAACGCCCUAACGUCGCCAGUACCUCGGCUAAGCCGAGUCGAUCCUCCAGCCGCACCACCUGCAGCCCCGUGGCCUUCCUACCAAGCGCUUCUCACCACCUCGACCCCCACUGAGCAAAUUUUUCAAGUCCCAAGGCUCCCCAAAAAUUCAAGAAGAAGAAAAUUUAAGUUUUUCUUACCUGGUGCAGUACGGAGAAGAAGAAGAACAAUGAGAAACGACUCUUUGCAAGGGAAAGAAAAGAAGAAGGCUAGGGGAAGGGAAUAAAAAUUUCCUCUCGCUUCUCUUCCUUGUUGGAAUAAUGAUUGUUCUCCAAAUUUAUUUAAUCCUCUGCUUAAGGCAGAAUUAAAUAGGUAUUGGGGGCAAUUAUUUUCCUUUUCCUAGAAGAAGUUUAUCUCCAAAUCAAGAAAGAAGAUCACGUUCAAAUCGGGAAACAACUUCACAAGCCUAAGCAGCUUGGGAUUCCUACACGUACAAUCUUUUUCCUACGUGCGACAUGUGGACUUUUAUUCAAGAAAGACAAGAUUGCCCUCAAUAAAUGGGCAAGCUUCUCAGAUGCUUCCACGCACAACUCACAUCCCCAGAGGUCUCAACAGCUAAAUACGACUACCCACAGCUCACCUGACAUUGGCAAGGACUUAAAGAUAAUGAUUAAUUACCCAAAUCAUAUCAUUAAUACAUUCCCUUUUGAAGAUUGACUCCAAUCAAGUGCAUUUCGUCAAAACUGAAGACGGUGGAAAUUUGCAUCGACAACAUUGUUUAUGAACAAGAGGCAGGGUUUAAGGUGUUGCAACGUGGCAAAAGUGCUAUUAUUCGUCUCUCCUGACCGAAGUUGUUGUACUGAAUGAAUUUUGUUUUUGAUGUCCAAGAAAUAAGGAAAUGACCUCACUCAGAUUCAAAAAUCUAACAAGUGAUUCGACCACCAAUAGCCUUCUGGUAUUCUAGAUUACUAUUUUGAAGUAUUAAUAGAAUUACACUUUCCUUAAUUAA